rnacentral:rRNA from 1 species
UCAGUUUGAAAUCUGGCGUCUUUGGCGUCCGAGUAGAAGAAAAAGAAGGUAUCUUUGGGCCCGGCUCUUGUCUAUGUUCCAUGGAACAGGACGUCACAGAGGGUGAGAAUCCCGUGCGAUGAGAUGACCCGGGUCUGUGUAAAGUUCCUUCGACGACUCGAGUUGUUUGGGAAUGCAGCUCUAAGUGGGUGGUAAAUUCCAUCUAAAGCUAAAUAUUGGCGAGAGACCGAUAGCGAACAAGUACAGUGAUGGAAAGAUGAAAAGAACUUUGAAAAGAGAGUGAAAAAGUACGUGAAAUUGUUGAAAGGGAAGGGCUUGAGAUCAGACUUGGUAUUUUGCAUGCUGCUCUCUCGGGGGCGGCCGCUGCGGUUUACCGGGCCAGCAUCGGUUUGGAGCGGCAGGAUAAUGGCGGAGGAAUGUGGCACGGCUUCUGCUGUGUGUUAUAGCCUCUGACGAUACUGCCAGCCUAGACCGAGGACUGCGGUUUUUUCCU